UCUCUUUAAACAUCCUAUCAAUCUCAGCCUUCUGUAUGUGUGGACAUCUGUAGGGCCUAAUCCUAAAUGGUUGUUCCCCUUUUUUACGGGUAUUCCGUGAUCAUUGAAUAUGUUUGGAGGCAGCCCCUUAGGUUCUGAAAAAACCAUAGAGAACUGGUUUACCAUUGCUUGUAGGGUCAGCAGGAGUUGUUUCUUAAAAAAGGUUGAACCCCAACCUUGAUCUGAGCCACUACCCAUGGAGCUGUGAUUCCUGAACCACUGCUUAUCUACUUUAUCACCCAUCAUCCUGGUUUUUCUUUAAUUGUGUCACAAUUCAACUCCAUCUCUUUGCCCUCAUAAGUGAAAGUGAUUUUUCCUCUACUAAAAUCAAACACAGGGUUGAAUUGACUUAUCCAUUCACUCCCAAUACUAUACUGUUCCCUCCCAGUUUCAACACCCUCAGUUGAUAUUAGAAUUCCAGGCCUUGUAUCUCCUAGGUUGAUGAAUUGCAGAUGGCCCUACUAAUCAGCUUAUCUCCUCCAGCUACUGUGAUAGAGGCAAAAUAAGGGCCUCAAUUACUUUUAAGACGACUUUGAUGAACUAAAUUCUCGGGUGAAAGGCGCCAAUCAAUGUGCACGUCGUUUGACUGUGAAGUAAGAUUACGCAAUGAUCAUCCAUUUCUGCACGCUAUGCACUUUGAGGAUUUCAACAGUGAAGAUGGAAGCAGAUGUCUCCAAAUAGCAGCAGUAAUCAACCAUUUGAUGAAUACAUGCUCCAGUGAUUCAGUACGAUUGCAACUAACACAUUUUGGAUGCCAAUCGUAAGGAGGUUAUUUUUUUGUAAAAUUUUCCAAGAGCAAGAAUACCACUCUUCCUUUAUCAAUUCACUCUCAUUGAAUCCAAG